AUUCUGACUGUGCGAAGGUAGCAUUUUAAAUUGUCUUUUACAUGGAGGCUUGAAUGAAAGGUUGGACAAAGUAUCAUCUGUUUCUUAAGUAUUUAUUGAAUUUGACUUUCAAGUGAAAAGGCUUGAAUAAAUUAAAAAGACGAUAAGACCCUAUAAAUCUUUACAAUAAACAUGUUCUAUAUUUUAAUUUGUAAGUAUAUAAAAUGUUAAAUUUGUAUUUGUUUCGCUGGGGCGGCGUAGAUAUAUAAAUAAACUGUCUAUAUAUUAAAACCAGUAAUUAUUGAUUAAUAAAAUUGAUCCUUAAAAAGAUUAAAAGAUUAAGAUACUUUAGGGAUAACAGCGUUAUUUUUUUUGAGAGUUCUUAUCGAAGAAAAAGUUUGCGACCUCGAUGUUGAAUUAAAGUAUCUUUGUGGUGUAGCCGCUAUAAGAGAG
rnacentral:rRNA from 1 species